rnacentral:lncRNA from 1 species
GGAUAUCCCUCAGUGAAAAAGGAGGCCAGCAGUACCUCCCACUGGGGACCAGGAGCCUGCCAGUACAGGAUGCAGCCAGUGCACAAAGCUGGUAAGAGAAGGGCAGAAAUGGAUGGAGAAGGAAAGAAGAAUAACUCAGCAGCACAGCUACGUCAGCUUGUGAACCCAGCUCUAACCAAUCUGAAAGGUUAUAUCUACUCCUCUACUCACCUUUCAUAUUUAUGAGUGUGCAUGGUCAGAGACCUCUAGGCUGACUGGCAUCAUCUCUUCUUGGCAUCAUCCCAGUGGUCUGCAAUUGGAUCGUUGUGGCGAGUCCUGAACCUAGGCAGAGGAAGAGAGGACCUCCAAUCUGGAGGGCGUGUUGAGGUCAUCU